UCCACGGUGGUCUAGCGGUUAGAACGCUGGCCUUGUAAUCCUGGGGUCUCGGGUUCGAUUCCCGGCGGUGCAC
rfam:Zootermopsis nevadensis contig2370, whole genome shotgun sequence.